GCAGGAGUUCUACUAGGUGGACGCCAUCUUGUCAAUGAAAUAAUCUCUGAUCAGAGACUCAGGAGAAGGCCAGGGCUCCAGGAAAGACAGAGGAGUGCAAAACUGGAAGGAGGCAAGAUGGGGCCGACCAGAAAUGGGUGACAUGCUCACUUCAGUUUAAGAGAGUGUGCUACACACAGUACCAUCUCCUCUCCUUCCUCAGAACCUGUAUGAUUUGGGUUCUCUUUGGCUUUCCUGCCCACCCCCUAAAAGAGAAGUUCUGUUUGUUACCUCUUACCGACAUUUAUUUUGACAAGUUUUUUCUGAGAGACCAUCCUCAUCCUCUCCCAUGAUGUCCACGGCAGAAAAUAUCAACGCGACAAGAAUGGCAAAGCAGCAUACCAGGGCGAAGAUCACAAUGCAUUUCUGCUGGGACUGUCAAGAAAGAGAAGAUAAAGAAAAGUGAGAAGCAGCUUUCCCUUAGAAAAGCCGGGAACUGAUGGCUUUUCAAAAUCCUGUGGGAAACCAUUACUUCCAUCACUGCCAGCGGAGGGCUGCCCUCCAAGUGCAACCUUGAUGUUCAUUCCCGAACACAGCCUGCAAGCCCCACUAAGUAUCUCAGAACAGCUGAAGAAUUCGAGUGCUGUAUCGAGACUUCUGAACAAGUUCUCUCUUCCCCUUUCUGAUCAAAAGCAGUCCAGGAGAUCUGGAGACCUUCUACAAGAUCUUCUACAGAGAGCACGACAAGGCCCAUUAGCGCAAAUUAAAAAUGAAACACAGGGUGGUUCGAUAA